rnacentral:lncRNA from 1 species
GAAUCACAUUCUAAGGUUUGUCUAAUAAAAAGUUGUUGCUGAAUUUGUAAGGGUUUCUUAUUUGUAUAUUCUUACUGAAUUCUUUAGUUGUCUAACAUAUCCUUAGGAUAUUACUCCUUAUAGUGACUGAACCUCAUGUAAAUUGAAAUUAAUAUUAGCUUUAUGUUGACUUUCUUUUUUUUUAUUUUUGUGGUACCAGGUAUUGAACCCAGGGAUGUGUUUAACCACUGUACCACAUCCCCAGCCUUUUAAUUUUGAGACAAGGUCUUCCUAAAUGGCUGAGCCUGGCUUUGAACUUGUGAUCUUCCUGCCUUAUCCUUCUGAGUCACUGAAAUCAUAGGUGUGCACCACUGUGCCUGGCUACUUCAGGUUAUUUUUAUGUAUUCCUUGC